rnacentral:rRNA from 1 species
CAGUAGCCGCGGUAAUACGAAGGGUGCAAGCGUUAAUCGGAAUUACUGGGCGUAAAGCGUGCGUAGGCGGUGAGUUAAGUCUGCUGUGAAAUCCCCGGGCUCAACCUGGGAAUGGCAGUGGAUACUGGCUCGCUAGAGUGUGUCAGAGGAUGGUGGAAUUCCCGGUGUAGCGGUGAAAUGCGUAGAGAUCGGGAGGAACAUCAGUGGCGAAGGCGGCCAUCUGGGACAACACUGACGCUGAGGCACGAAAGCGUGGGGAGCAAACCGGAUUAGAUACCCCUGUAGUCCCUGUCUCUUAUAC